rnacentral:rRNA from 1 species
CUAAUACCGGAUAAGAAAGACGGAUCGCAUGAUCAGCUUUUAAAAGGACGGCGUAAGCUGUCGCUAUGGGAUGGCCCCGCGGUGCAUUAGCUAGUUGGUAAGGUAAAGGCUUACCAAGGCGAUGAUGCAUAGCCGAGUUGAGAGACUGAUCGGCCACAUUGGGACUGAGACACGGCCCAAACUCCUACGGGAGGCAGCAGGA